rnacentral:lncRNA from 1 species
UUUUUCCUUAAUUUUCCGUUUUUCUUUUUUUUCUUUUUUCUAUUCCUAAUUUUCUUUUUUCUUUAGUGUUUUAAUUCAAUUUUUUUCCAAUUUUUUUGUUUUUUUUCUAUGUUUGUCUCUCAAUUUGUUGUUAUUUUCUUUCUUUUACUGUUUUUCUUUUUUUUUUAAUAUUUUAUAUGUUUUUUAUUUUGUUUUUUUAUAUAUUGUUUAUAUCUCUCUUUUUUAUAUUUAUUUUUUCGUUUCUCUUUUAUCGUCCUUUUUUUGUAUUUUUAUUUAUGUAUUUAUUUUGUUUUAUUUUAUUUUCUUUUUUUAACUACAUUGUUUUUAUUUUUUUUUUCUGAUUUUUAACUGAAAUUUAUCUUCUCUUUUUUUUCCUUUUUUUUCCUUUUACCCUGUUUUUCUUUUCUGGAUUUUUUGUUUUUUUGUUUUUUUCUUAUUUUAUCUAUUUUAUCUAUUUUUUUAUUUUUUCUAUUUAUAUAUAAAUAUUUUGUUUUUUGGUUAUUUUUCUUUUUUCUAAUUUUAUCUACAUUUGUUUACGUUCAUUUUCAUUUUCAUUUCUUUUUUUUCAUGUUUUUUUUAACUUUUUCCUAUUUUUUGUUUUUUCAUGUUUUAUAUUUUGCUUCUCUUUUUUUUUAUCUACAUUUUUUUUUUGUAAUUUUUUAACUAUUUUUAUUUUUUUUCUAUUUGUAUGGUUAUCUUCUUUUUUCUUCCUCUAUUUUAUUCUUUUCUUCCUUUUUUUAUUUUUUAUUUUCUUAUUUUUCUUAUUUUUUUCGAUUUCUUCUUAUUUUAUCUACUUUUCUUUUUCUUUUUUUUUUGUUUUUAUAUAAAUAUUUUGUUAUCUUUUAUUAUUGGCAUCUAUAUUUUUCUCUUUUAUUUUCAUUUUUUUAUCAUGUUUUUAUUUCUUUCCUACUGGUCUGUUUCUUUCAUUUUAAAAUUUUUGUCUUACUCUUUUUUUUUAUUUUAUCUUCUUUUUUUCUGUAUUUUUAAUUUGUUUAUUUAUUUAGUUAUUUAUAUUUAUUUAUUCUUUUUCUUUAUUUUUAUACUUUUGUUUUCACGUUUUUUUUUAAUUUUUCUAGUUUUUUUCUUUUACUGUUUUUUCCUCUUUUUUCCUUUUUGUUUUAAAUUUUUCAUCUGUUUUGUUUUCUGAUUUUUUCCUUUUUUCUUUUUUUAUCUUAAUUGUUUUUCAUUUUUUCUGUUUUAUCUCUUUUUUGUUUUUUAUUUUUUGUUUUUAUAUAUAAAUUGUUGUUUCUUUUUUUUUUUCUUUUCUUUUAUCUAGAUUUUUUCCUUUCAUUUUUUUAUUUUUGUGUGUUUUUAAUUUUUUUCUAUUUUGUUUUUUAAGUUUUAUAAAUGUGUGUUAUCUCUUUCUUUUUCUGUUUUUUUUUAAUUUUUUUUUUAUAUAUUUUGUAUCUUCUCUCUUUUUUGUAUUUUUAUGUAUUUAGGUAUUUUGAUUUUCUUUUGGUUGUUUUUCUCUUUUUAUCUAUAAUUUUUUUCUUUUUUUUGCCUUUUUGUUUUGAAUUUUUUCCUCUUUGUUAUCUAUUUUUUCUGUUUUUCCUUUAUUCCUUUUUUUUUUUUUUCUUUUUUUUCAGUUUUUUUCUAUUGUUUCUACUUUUUCUGUUUUUCUGUUUUUUCUAUUUAUAUAUAAAUAUUUUGUUAUCUUUUUUUCUUUUAUCCUUUUUUCUACAUUUUUGUCGUUUCAUUUUUAUUUAUUUUUAUUUUUUUUCUAUUUUCUGUUUUUUUCAUGUUUUAAAUUUUUGAACUGGUUUUUUUUUUUUUUUUUUUUUUUUACAAUUUUUAUCUAUUUUUUUUUGCUUAUAUAUAUGUUUUGUUAUCUUCUUUUUUCCCUUUUCCCUUCUUUCUCUUUUUAUAUUCUUUUUCUUGUUUUCCUUUAUUUCUUGUUUUUAUUUGUUAUCUACUUUUUUCCUAUUGUUUUUGUUUUUGUUCUUCUUUUCUUCAAUUUUUUGAUUUUAAUUUCAUUUUGUUUUUGUUUUUUUUUCUUAAUUUUUUCUGUUUUGUUUUCUAUUUUAAACUAUUUUAACAGUUUUUUCAUUUUUUUCCUAAUUUUUUAUCUAAUUUUUAUGUUUAUAAAUAUUUUUUUAUUUUACGAAUUUUUUCAUAAAAAAUCAAAAAAAAAUUUUGUUAUCUGCUUCUUUUACAAUUUUUCUUUUUAAAAAUUUUUUUUCUAGUUUUUAUGUGGUUUGUUUAGAGAAUAUAUAUAUAUAUAAUAUAUAGAUAUAGAUAUUAUAUAUAUAUAUAUAUAUAUAUAUAUAUACUGAUAAUAUCUUCUCUUUUUAUUUUUAUUUUUUAUUUUUAUCUUCUUUUUCCUCUUUAUUUUUCUUAUUUAUUUAUUUUGCUUUUCUUUUGUUUUUCCUCUAUUUUUUUCUACAGUUUUUUUCUCAUAUUUUUCAUUUUUUCUAUUUUAAUUUUUUAACUUUUUUACUUUUUACUUUUUUGGUUUUUAAUUUAUCUUUUUUUUUUUACUUUUUUAUGUAAUUUUUGUUUAUCUUCUUUUUUUUUCCUAUUUUUUUUCUUAAUUCCUUUUUUCUUUUUUUUCUUUUUUCUAUUCCUAUUUUCUUUUUUCUUUAGUGUUUUUUCAAUUUUUUUCUAAUUUUUUGUUUUUUUCAUGUUUUAAAUUUUUGUUAUUUUCUUUCUUUUACUGUUUCUUUUUUUUAAUCUAUUUUAUCUAUUUUUUAUUUUAUUUUUUUUAUAUAUAUGUUUAUAUCUUCUCUUGUUUUUAUAUUUUAUUUUUAUUUCUAUUUUAUCUUCUUUUUUUGUAUUUUUAUUUAUUUAUUUAUUUUGCUUUUAUUUUAUUUUUCUUUUUUUAUCUACAUUGUUUUUUUUUUUUUUUAUAUCUAUUUUUACUGAAAUUUAUCUUCUCUUUUUUUUCCUUUUUUUCCUUUAUACCUUUUUUUCUUUUCUGAUUUUUCUUUUUUUUUUGGUUUUUUCUUAUUUUAUCUACUUUAUCUACUUUUUCUAUUUAUAUGUAAAUAUUUUGUUUUUUUGUUAUUUUCCUUUUUUCUAAUUUUAUCUACAUUUGUUUUCUUUCAUUUCAUUUUUAUUUUCUUUUUUUCAUGUUUUAAAUUUUUGUUAUUUUCUUUCUUUUACGGUUUCUUUUUUUUUUCUUUUUAUAUAUAUGUUGAUAUCCUCUCUUUUUUUAUUUUUAUUUUUAUUUUUCUAUUUUAUCUUUUUUUGUUAUUUAUUUUGCUUCUCUUUUUUUUUUAUCUACAUUUUUUUUUUGUAAUGUUGUUUACUCGCGUCAUUUGUUAUUUUUUUUUCUAUUUGUAUGUGUUAUCUUCUUUUUUCUUCCUCAUUUAUUCCUUUCUUCCUUUUUUUAUUUUUAAUUCUUAGUUAUUCUUAUUUUGUCGAUUCUCUUAUUUUAUCACUUUUUGUGCUUUUUUUUUUUUUUAUAUAAUAUGUUGUUAUUUUUUAUAUUUUAUAUCUAUUUUUCUCUUUUAUUUUUUUUUUUAUCCUGUUUUUAAUUUCUUUCCCUAUUUUCAUGUUUAUUUUUUUUGGGUUAUAUAUAUUAUAUAUACUUAUAAUAUUUGUUAUGUAUAUAGUAUAUGUAUAAUAUUUGAUUAUCUUUUUCUUUUUUAGUAUUUUGGUCUUCUUUUUUUUUUGUAUUUUCUUGUUUGUUAUUUAUUUAUUUUUAUCAUAUUUUUUUGUUUUUUCUUUAUCUUUCUUUAUAUUUGUUUUCAUAUUUUUUUAAUUUUUUUGUUUCAUUUUUUAACUGUUUUUACUUUUUUUCCUUUUUUGUUUUUAAUUUUUUAUCUGUUUUUUUUUCUUGAUUCUUUCCUUUUUUCUUUUUUUUUCUUUUCUUAAUUUUUUUUAAUUUUUUCUUGUUUUAUCUACUUUUUUGUUUUUUAUUUUUUAUUUUUUUAUAUAAAUAUUUUGUUUUUUUUUCUUUUUUCUUUUUAUCUAGAUUUUUUUCCUUUCAUUUUUCAUUUUUUUCGUGUUUUUUAAUUUUUUUUCUAUUUUUGUUUUUUUAAUGUUUUAAAAUUUUGUUAUCUUCUUUCUUUUUCUGUUUUUUAAUUUUUUUAUAUAAAUAUUUUGAUAUCUUCUCUCUUUUUGUAUUUUUUAUUUUAUCUUCCUUUUUUGUAUUUUUAUUUAUUUAUGUAUUUUGCUUUUCUUUUGGUUGUUUUCCUCUUUUUAUCUAUAUAUUUUUUUUUGCCUUUUUCUUUUUUUAAUUUUUUAAUUAUUUUUAUUUUUUUCCUCUUUGUUAUCUAUUUUUUCUAUUUGUAUUGUUAUUUUCUCUUUUUUUCUGUUUUUUUCCUUUAUUCCUUUUUUUAUUUUUAUUUUUAUUUUUUUCUUUGUUUGCAGUUUUUUUUGCUAUUUUUUUCUAACUUUUUUUUCUGUUUUAUUCUGUUUUCUUCUAUUUAUAUAUAAUAUUUGUUAUCUUUUUUUUUUUAUCCUUUGUUCUCAUUUUUGUCCUUUCAUUUUUCAUUUUUUUUUAAAAAAAUAAUCCUAUUUUCUGUUUUUUUUAUGUUUUAAAUUUUUUGAACUGUUUUUUUUUUUUUUUACAGUUUUUAUCUAUUUUUUUGUUUAUAUAUAUAUAUUUGAUAUCUUCUUUUUUUCCUUUCCCUUCUCCUCUUUGAUAUUUCUUUUUUCUUGUUUUCCUUUAUUCCUUGUUUUUAUUUGUUAUCUACUUUUUUCCUAUUGUUUUUGUUUUUGUUCUUCUUUUCUUCAAUUUUUUGUUUUUAAUUUCAUUUUUCUUUUUGUUUUUCUUUUUUUUCUUAAUUUUUUCUGUUUUGUUUUCUAUUUUAAAUUAUUUUAACAGUUUUUUCAUUUUUUCCCUACUUUUUAUCUACUUUUUAUGUUUAUAAAUAUUUUUUUUAUUUUUUACCGAAUUUUUUUAUAAAAAAUCAAUUUUUUUUUUCUAUUUUUCCUUUUUUGCUUCUUUUUUUUUUCUUGCUUAAUUUCCUGUUUUUAUUGUUUUUAUUGUUUUGAUUUUCGGGUUUUCUUUUUUAUGAUUGUUCAUUUUUUUCGUUGUUUCCUAAUUUGGUUGU